rnacentral:misc_RNA from 1 species
GAUGAAGAACGCAGUGAAAUGCGAUAAGUAAUGCGAAUUGCAGAAUUCCAGUGAGUCAUCGAAUCUUUGAACGCACAUUGCGCCCGCCAGUAUUCUGGCGGGCAUGCCUGUUCGAGCGUCAUUACAACCCUCAGGCCCCCGGGCCUGGCGUUGGGGAUCGGCGGAAGCCCCCUGCGGGCACAACGCCGUCCCCCAAAUACAGUGGCGGUCCCGCCGCAGCUUCCAUUGCGUAGUAGCUAACACCUCGCAACUGGAGAGCGGCGCGGCCACGCCGUAAAACACCCAACUUCUGAAUGUUGACCUCGAAUCAGGUAGGAAUACCCGCUGAACUUAAGCAUAUCAAUAAGCGGAGGA